UGAGUGGCGACGGGUGAGUAACGCGUGGGCAACCUGCCCUGUACAGGGGGACAACACUUAGAAAUAGGUGCUAAUACCGCAUAACGGGGGGAGCCGCAUGGCACCCCCCUGAAAACUCCGGUGGUACAGGAUGGGCCCGCGUCUGAUUAGCUGGUUGGCAGGGUAACGGCCUACCAAGGCGACGAUCAGUAGCCGGCCUGAGAGGGCGGACGGCCACACUGGGACUGAGACACGGCCCAGACUCCUACGGAAGGCAGCAG
rnacentral:rRNA from 1 species